rnacentral:rRNA from 1 species
AGUUUGAUCCUGGCUCAGAUUGAACGCUGGCGGCAUGCCUUACACAUGCAAGUCGAACGGCAGCACGGGAGCUUGCUCCUGGUGGCGAGUGGCGAACGGGUGAGUAAUGCAUCGGAACGUAUCCUGGAGUGGGGGAUAACGUAGCGAAAGUUACGCUAAUACCGCAUAUUCUGUGAGCAGGAAAGCGGGGGACCUUCGGGCCUCGCGCUCUUGGAGCGGCCGAUGUCGGAUUAGCUAGUUGGUGAGGUAAAGGCUCACCAAGGCGACGAUCCGUAGCAGGUCUGAGAGGAUGAUCUGCCACACUGGAACUGAGACACGGUCCAGACUCCUACGGGAGGCAGCAGUGGGGAAUUUUGGACAAUGGGGGCAACCCUGAUCCAGCCAUGCCGCGUGAGUGAAGAAGGCC